CACAUUUCAAAACAUUUCAAAAUAGCCCGCUUCCUUGCUCCUCUCUCUCUCUCUCUCUCUCUCUCUCUCUCUCUCAAUUCCAGAUCUGGAUCGAGGGUUUUUCUCCAAGACGAUUCAAGAUCUAGCCUUUCUCAUUCAAGAUAUAGCCUUUCUCCACGCACAUAACCUCUCUGUUGCUACUGUCACGAACAUAACCUCUCUCCGGCUAGACACAAAUUCUAUCACUGCUCCACAGAUAGCCUUCAAUGGCGCCGAUGGAACCUAUAUCAACACGCUUCCUCCACGCAUUUCUCUUCACAACCACCGUCAAUGCCGGAAAAGCGAUCCAAUUUUGUGUUCUGCAUCCCCGCCGGUCACCGUAGAACAUCAUACGAGUGACACACCGAGUCGAAUCGGAGCUCUGAGUCAGGUUUCCGGCGUUUUAGGUUGCUAGUGGGGCGAUGAAGGCAAGGGGAAGCUUGUUGAUAUCCUAGCCAAGCAUUUUGAUGUUGUAGCUCGUUGUCAGAUAACACGCAUGUUUCUGCAAGUUCCAUAGCAGAAGCGGAAAUCCUUCCAUCCAAAGAUUCUGGUCCUAAGAUAUUGGAUUUGUACAUGCCAAAGGAUCCAAGUACCAAGGGCCAUCAUGGAAUUGGUUUUAUAACUUUUUCAAAUGCUGAUUCUGUGGAUGAUCUCAUGUCUAAAACCCAUGAACUUGGGGGUUCAGAUGUGGUGGUUGACAGAGCAACCCUAAGGAAGACAAUUUCCGACCAGUUAGCCGCAUGCCGCCUCCGAGUGACGGAUAUGGUGCCUAUAAUGCUUAUGUUACAACUAGAUAUGCUGCACUGGGAGCUCCUACAGCAUAUGAUUAUCCAAGCUCUGUCUAUGGAAGAGGAGAAUCCGCUAGGGGCCUUGCGGCUUGCGCCCUUUAAAACCAAGCAACAUGCCACCUGUAUGGACUACUGUUGCUUACGCCGCAUUGUGUCUCCCUUGCUUACGCCUCAUGAGGCGAAGGGAAAACGCCUCAAGGCGCGUUUCCGUUCUUUUAAACCUUGACCAUGAGAUACUCUUUGUUGACACUCUCAGCUAAUGAGAGAAAUCAACACAGGAAGCUCUCAAGCAGAAGGCGAGAAAGUUUCUGUUAAUAAGAAGAUUUGUAUUCUCUUUCUCGAUCAUGGCCGAAAACAAUGUUCCUGUUACCCAUCAAUCAGAGGUUGAAAUGGAAGAACAGAGGUUGAAGUACCUGCAAUUUGUACAAAUGGCAGCUCUCCAUGCUCUUCUUUAUGCUUCAAAAGCAUAUAGUUAUGCCAAGAACAACUCCGGUCUACUCAAACCCAAGGUGGAGAUGAUAGAGGGUACCCUGAAGAUCAUUGUCAGCCCUGCGUACGACAAGUACCAUCAUGUUCCUGUUGAGGUCUUUGUUGAUCGUAAGGUAGAUGAGACGGUUUGAAAAAUUCGGCAAUCGGGUGCAGCCUAUUGUGAAACAAGUGUCAACUAAAACCAAGAACUUGUCUGCAGAGGUUAAGACUGCUGGGCUGGCAAAAUCCGUGUACACAAAGCUUGAGCCGACUGCUAAAGGACUCUACACAAAAUACGAGCCGGUCAUUUUGAUGUCAUUUUGAUUCAGUUAUUAGACUGUGAAAGCCUCAAAAGUUUUGAUUAAAAUUUUAUAACUUUGACCACAUUUUUUAGUCGGUCAAUCUUUUUGACCUAAACAUAAUUAUAAUAAUAAUGUUUACCACUAAAUGUGUGAACAA